rnacentral:tRNA from 2 species
GCUGCUAUGGCUCAGUUGGUAGAGCACAUCCUUGGUAAGGAUGAGGUCAUCAGUUCGACUCUGAUUAGCAGCUCCA